rnacentral:rRNA from 1 species
CCUAGGGUGCAGCAGUCGAGAAUCUUCCGCAAUGGACGAAAGUCUGACGGAGCGACGCCGCGUGCGGGAUGAAGGCCUUCGGGUUGUAAACCGCUGUCAGUGGGGAGGAAAUGCAUCAGGGUUCUCCCUGGUGUUUGACCGAUCCGCAGAGGAAGCGCAGGCUAAGUUCGUGCCAGCAGCCGCGGUAACACGAACUGCGCGAACGUUAUUCGGAAUCACUGGGCUUAAAGAGUUCGUAGGCGGCCUUUCAAGUCGGGUGUGAAAUCCCUCGGCUCAACCGAGGAAUUGCGCCUGAUACUGUUGGGCUUGAGGGGGAUAGGGGUGAGCGGAACUGAUGGUGGAGCGGUGAAAUGCGUUGAUAUCAUCAGGAACACCGGUGGCGAAGGCGGCUCACUGGAUCUCUUCUGACGCUGAGGAACGAAAGCUAGGGGAGCGAACGGGAUUAGAUACCCCAGUAGUC